rnacentral:rRNA from 1 species
CAGUCGCCGCGGUAACACAGAGGGUGCGAGCGUUAAUCGGAUUUACUGGGCGUAAAGCGUGCGUAGGCGGCUUUUUAAGUCGGAUGUGAAAUCCCUGAGCUUAACUUAGGAAUUGCAUUCGAUACUGGGAAGCUAGAGUAUGGGAGAGGAUGGUAGAAUUCCAGGUGUAGCGGUGAAAUGCGUAGAGAUCUGGAGGAAUACCGAUGGCGAAGGCAGCCAUCUGGCCUAAUACUGACGCUGAGGUACGAAAGCAUGGGGAGCAAACAGGAUUAGAUACCCGAGUAGUCCCUGUCUCUUAUAC